GCCCGGGUGGCGAAAUUGGUAGACGCACUACCUUGAGGUGGUAGCGCUCGUAAGGGCAUGGAGGUUCAAAUCCUCUCUCGGGCACAA
rnacentral:tRNA from 2 species